rnacentral:rRNA from 1 species
UGGCGGACGGGUGAGUAACGCGUUGGUGAUCUGCCUUGAAGUGUGGAAUAACGUUUCGAAAGGAACGCUAAUACCGCAUGUGCUCUCGAUUUUCAGAAAGUUGAGAGUAAAGGAUUUAUUCGCUUCAAGAGGAGCCUGCGUCCCAUCAGCUGGUUGGUAGGGUAACGGCCUACCAAGGCUAUGACGGGUAGGGGACCUGAGAGGGUGGCCCCCCACAAUGGAACUGAAACACGGUCCAUACACCUACGGGUGGCAGCAGUAGGGAAUAUUAGAAAUGGACGAAAGUCUGAUCUAGCAACACCGCGUGUGCGAAGAAGGCCUUCGGGUCGUAAAGCACUUUUUGGAAGGAAUAGGAAGGAAUGUACUUCCAGAAUAAGUCUCGGCUAACUACGUGCCAGCAGCCGCGGUAAUA